rnacentral:rRNA from 1 species
AUUGAACGAUGGCGGCAGGCUUAACACAUGCAAGUCGAGCGAGCGGCGGACGGGUGAGUAAUGUCUGGGAAACUGCCUGAUGGAGGGGGAUAACUACUGGAAAAGGUAGAUAAUACCGCAUACCAUCAGAUGUGCCCAGAUGGGCUGUGCUAGUGGGUGGGGUAAUGGCUCACCUAGGCGACGAUCCCUAGCUGGUCUGAGAGGAUGACCAGCAACACUGGAACUGAGGCACGGGCCAGACUCCUACGGGAGGCAGCAGUGUGGAAUAUGGCACAAUGGGCGCAAGCCUGAUUCAGCCAUGCCGCGUGUGUGAAGAAGGCCUUCGGGUUGUAAAGCACUUUCAGCGAGGAGGCGUUACUCGCAGAAGAAGCACCGGCUAACUCCGUGCCAGCAGCCGCGGUAAUUC